UGGGGAAUAUUGGACAAUGGGCGAAAGCCUGAUCCAGCCAUGCCGCGUGUGUGAAGAAGGCCUUAUGGUUGUAAAGCACUUUAAGUGGGGAGGAAAAGCUUAUGGAUAACACCCAUAGGUUCUGACGUUACCCACAGAAUAAGCACCGGCUAACUCUGUGCCAGCAGCCGCGGUAAUACAGAGGGUGCAAGCGUUAAUCGGAAUUACUGGGCGUAAAGCGAGCGUAGGUGGUUUAUUAAGUCAGAUGUGAAAUCCCUGGGCUUAACCUAGGAACUGCAUCUGAUACUGAUAAACUAGAGUAGGUGAGAGGAAAGUAGAAUUCCAGGUGUAGCGGUGAAAUGCGUAGAGAUCUGGAGGAAUACCGAUGGCGAAGGCAGCUUUCUGGCAUCAUACUGACACUGAGGUUCGAAAGCGUGGGUAGCAAACAGGAUUAGAUACCCUGGUAGUCCACGCCGUAAACGAUGUCUACCAGUCGUUGGGUCUUUUAAAGGCUUAGUGACGCAGUUAACGCGAUAAGUAGACCGCCUGGGGAGUACGGCCGCAAGGUU
rnacentral:rRNA from 1 species